GUCGAGCGGACAGAUGGGAGCUUGCUCCCUGAUGUUAGCGGCGGACGGGUGAGUAACACGUGGGUAACCUGCCUGUAAGACUGGGAUAACUCCGGGAAACCGGGGCUAAUACCGGAUGCUUGUUUGAACCGCAUGGUUCAAACAUAAAAGGUGGCUUCGGCUACCACUUACAGAUGGACCCGCGGCGCAUUAGCUAGUUGGUGAGGUAACGGCUCACCAAGGCAACGAUGCGUAGCCGACCUGAGAGGGUGAUCGGCCACACUGGGACUGAGACACGGCCCAGACUCCUACGGGAGGCAGCAGUAGGGAAUCUUCCGCAAUGGACGAAAGUCUGACGGAGCAACGCCGCGUGAGUGAUGAAGGUUUUCGGAUCGUAAAGCUCUGUUGUUAGGGAAGAACAAGUACCGUUCGAAUAGGGCGGUACCUUGACGGUACCUAACCAGAAAGCCACGGCUAACUACGUGCCAGCAGCCGCGGUAAUACGUAGGUGGCAAGCGUUGUCCGGAAUUAUUGGGCGUAAAGGGCUCGCAGGCGGUUUCUUUAAGUCUGAUGUGAAAGCCCCCGGCUCAACCGGGGAGGGUCAUUGGAAACUGGGGAACU
rnacentral:rRNA from 1 species